rnacentral:lncRNA from 13 species
AAUUUUGGGUCAGUGGCCAGCAUCAAUCCCGGCCUGGGAUACUGACAUUCUGUCCCAAUGACAGCUCUCUCUGCCAAUCUUAGAUUCUCCAGCAGCAUUUUAAUAUGACUUGGAUGUGACAGAUGUACAUGCUUUUGUGCCCAGACUUUGUCUUGGAAAGGAGGACAUUGUCUUUUGGAGAGCAAAGAAAGAAUAAUGAUUGCUAAUGAAAUCCAGAGAGAAAGGCACUCUGAUGGUCUUUAUUUUCCAGAUGAAGAAACUAAGGCAAAGCAAGUCUAAGUAUCUCAGCCAAGGUCUCACAUCUGAUACAUGGGUUUAGUAUUUGUCCUUGAAGAGUUGUCAACUGCAAAACGCAAAGAAAAUUGUAUAUCCAAUUAAAGUAAGGUGAAACACAACUGUCAAAUAAAAGCCAUUAACCCCCUGAGUACCA